UCCGUUUGCUACUUUUUCUUUGAUGGGCUCCCCAUUGCGAGCGCAGUAAAGGAUUCCACAACAGUAUUUAAGCCCUAAUCCUUUGAGAUCGAGCAAUUCAUCCGGAGCUGGCAUUUAGCCUCCGGACUGAUCCAAGCUCCCCAGCUUCUCUCGGCUUCGGCGCCGUCGAACAGUCCCUUUCGAAAGCCGCGAGACGAGAGCUCGGGUUUGAACCUCGAUCUUUGAUCGCUACUGGUGGAGGAGGAUCGGAGGGAAGCUCGGGAGGAGUCCAGCUAUGGCGGGUGAUGGCAAAAGACGCCAUUUUGGAAGCAGAUGGUGCCAGUAGCGUCGAAAUUCUGGUCCCGGGGGUAGAAAUCGACGGCAUUGUGGAAUCCAUCUUGAUCAGGUAGGCAGCAACAACCCUCCAAAGUUCGCUGAUAGAGGGGGGAGAGGGAUGAAGGAGACCGGAAGAAAGAAAGGAUACAGAAGCAGUGCAUGAAAGGGAAGUGGGUGUUCCGGACGGAGUUGGGGAAGCGGAAUGUUGUAAGGGAGUAAGGCGAAUUGUUAAUUGACAGCGUAUCUUGCGAUAAAUCUGCGAUUCAACUGUGUCGGGAAAGGGCAAUGUUUCGAGUAUUUCCUAAUCUUGUCUCCCAAUCCUACUCCGGGGAGGAAAAGGAGAUGUAUUUCCUAAUGCCCUUCUCCCAUACGAUUCCUUCUUUCUAUGUUUAAAGCUGUUCUUUUUCUUCCUUUAAUAUUUGGAGAACAGAGGAUAUAAGAGGAACGUGCUCUGUUGUUGUCGCUAGUGCCAAACAGAAACUGGAGUUGCCUUCGCUGCUUUCUAUAUUUAAUUGGAGGGAACAGAGAAGAGUAGGGUCUCUCGCGCUCUCUCUCUCUCGUUCAUUGUCUUUGGGAUAAGUGAGCCUUUGCUUCUUUUGAGAAGGCCUUAACCACGCCUUCAUCCUCUUUCGCGCAAAUCAACACAAGAAUUGAUGCCGUUUGCUUAGAGCUAAGUAGAGGUUAGGCGCCUACUUUUGCUGCAGGGUGUGGUGCGGGAGAAAGGAGAUCGAAAAGGUGGGAGUUUUGCAGAAGUUGGUGGGGCUUUGGGGUGGGAAAAGAUACAGGCAACGGACGGAGAUGGCGGUCGGAGGGAAGAGGAGGUGGUGGUGGAAACGGAGGGCGGCGGUGGUGGCGGGCGUGACGAUUGCAGUGAGCGUGUGGUUGGGUUCCCACUGCUACUUUCGGAGGGAGAAUAUGGCCAAGGCGGAGGAGGCUCUGGUGAGCAUGUGCGAGGAGCGUGCGAGGAUGAUCCAGGACCAAUUCGCAGUAAGCGUCAACCACGUCCACGCCCUCGCCAUCCUCAUCUCCACCUUUUACUACCAGAAGCAGCCCCCAGCUCUUGAUCAGGAGACAUUUGCAUACUACACUGCCAAAACAGCAUUCGAACGGCCAUUGUUGAAUGGGGUUGCAUAUGCAGAGAGAAUCAUUCAUUCCCAACGCGAGAUAUUUGAGACUAGGCAGGGAUGGACGAUCAUGACCAUGAAAAGGGAGCCAUCACCCAUGCAAGAUGAAUAUGCUCCUGUGAUUUACUCUCAGGAGACUGUCUCUUACAUUGAGGCAAUUGAUAUGAUGUCCGGCGAGGAGGAUAGAGAGAAUAUUUUACGGGCUAGGGCUACUGGGAAAGCUGUUCUUACGAAACCUUUUAGGCUGCUUGAGUCUAACCAUCUUGGUGUAGUUUUGACAUUUCCAGUAUAUCGCUCUGGCCUUCCUGAGGAUGCAACAGUAGAACAACGCGUGGAAGCAACUGCAGGAUAUCUUGGUGGUGCUUUUGAUGUCGAGUCACUCGUGGAAAAUUUGUUGAGGCAACUAGCUGGAAAUCAGGAUAUUACUAUAAAUGUUUAUGAUAUCACCAAUGCUUCUGAACCAUUGAUAAUGUAUGGCCCUCAAAUUCCAGAGGGUUAUAUGCCACUUUCACAUGUCAGCAUGCUUGACUUUGGAGAUCCAUUCAGGAAGCACCAGAUGCACUGCAGGUAUAGGGAAAAACCUCCCCUUCCAUUGUCAGCCAUUACAACACCGUUUGGUAUUUUUGUGAUCAUUAUGCUUGGAGGUUACAUAGUAUUUGCCGCAAAAAAUCAUUAUGACAAUGUUAAGGAAGAUUGUCGGAAGAUGGAAGAGCUAAAAGUUCAAGCAGAGGCUGCAGAUGUUGCAAAAUCUCAGUUUCUUGCUACUGUCUCACAUGAGAUUAGAACACCCAUGAAUGGUGUCUUAGGAAUGCUGGACAUGCUUUUGGAUACAGAUCUGAAUUUAACUCAAAAAGAUUAUGCCCAAACUGCUCAAGUUUGUGGAAAAGCAUUGAUAUCACUGAUUAAUGAAGUUCUUGACCGGGCAAAAAUCGAAGCUGGCAAAUUAGAGAUUGAGGCAGUUCCAUUUGAUUUGAGAUCAAUCCUUGAUGAUGUUAUUUCAUUGUUCUCUUCAAAAUCAAGAGAAAAGGGCAUUGAACUUGCUGUAUUUGUAUCGGACAAAGUUCCAGAAGUUGUCACUGGUGAUCCAGGGAGAUUUCGACAGAUAAUAACAAAUCUAGUGGGCAAUUCAGUUAAAUUUACUGAAAGGGGCCACAUAUUUGUCCAAGUUCAUUUGGCUGAUAACUCAGACCUUGGAGCAGAUGAAAAAGUUUAUUCUGGCUUAAAUGGGCUAUCACAAUCAGAAAAGGUACAAAUCAUGUCUGAUUGCACUUUCGAUACUUUAAGUGGUUUCGAAGCUGCAGACACCAGAAACAAUUGGGAAAAUUUCAAGCUGCUGCUUUCAGAUGAAAUGAUUUUGCCAGAGGCCUCAACAUCUGAUAAAGAACCUGAUAUUGUCACCUUGAUAGUACGUGUUGAGGAUACAGGGAUUGGGAUCCCAUUAUGUGCCCAGGAUCGUGUCUUCACACCUUUCAUGCAGGCUGACAGCUCAACUUCCAGGAACUAUGGAGGAACUGGUAUUGGCCUGAGCAUUACUAAAUGUCUGGUUGAAUUGAUGGGUGGACAAAUUAACUUCAUUAGCCGACCAAAUGUUGGAAGUACAUUUACAUUUACUGCUGUUUUUAAACGAUGCAACAAGGAUGCAAUUGCAGACACAAAGAGAACUCUUUCUGAGGCUUUACCUACUGGAUUUAGGGGAAUGAAAGCAUUUAUAGUUGAUGGAAAGCCAGUAAGAAAUGCUGUAACAAGGUAUCAUUUAAAGAGGUUGGGCAUAGCUGUUGAGGUUGCAAAUACUGUCAAGAUGAUGCUUAAUUCUUUGACCCGACAAAAUUCUAAUUUUAGAACUGGGAGACAACCAUACAUUAUAUUAAUUGAAAAGGACUCAUGGUACACUGGUAUGGAUGUUUACUUGCAUAAUCAGUUGCUGUUACUUAAGCAGAAUGAUUGUGUACUAGAACUGCCAAAGAUCAUACUUUUGGUGACUUGUGAAUAUGAUAAAAUGAGUACUGGUUCCUUAGUUGAUACUGUAAUCAACAAGCCUCUAAGGGCAAGCACUGUGGCAGCAUGCCUUCAGCAGGUGCUUGGAAUGGAAAAACAACAGAAGAAAGAGUUGUCCAAUGGUCCAACUAAUCUUCGCAACCUGUUAGCAGGUAAGAACAUAUUAGUGAUUGACGACAACAAAGUAAAUCUUAGGGUUGCUGCAAGUGCUCUUAAGAAAUAUGGGGCGAGAGUGGAAUGUGCUGAAAGUGGGAAAGAUGCCCUGUCACUCCUUCAACUGCCACAUAAGUUUGAUGCCUGUUUCAUGGAUGUUCAGAUGCCUGAAAUGGAUGGGUUUGAAGCAACUAGACAGAUACGUUUGAUGGAGAGCAAGGCAAAUGAACAAAUCAGUAUCGGAGGAGCCAGCAGAGGAGAGGAUUCUAUGAUAGUUGAGUGGCACCUGCCGAUUCUGGCCAUGACUGCUGAUGUGAUCCAGGCUACAUAUGAGGAGUGCUUGAAAUGUGGAAUGGAUGGUUAUGUCUCCAAGCCCUUUGAGGAGCAGCAGCUUUUUCAGGCAGUUGCCAAGUUCUUGGUAUCAAAACCCAGCUCAGAUUCAUGACAAAGAUUUUCUACAGAGAGUUAUAACAUGGUGCAUUCUACACACAACAAGAUGGUGUUAGUGGUGAUAGUCCAUAGAGCCAUUAGUAGGAAGGAUAGUGUGUACAAAUGAGUAAGGUGGGCUCAGCAACAUGUUCCUUGGGAUGCUAUGUUACAUCAUCGCUCUUCCAGCAGUAUCUGACAUAAUCCCCACUCUCUUUUCUUUGGAAGGUGCUUGUACUUGAAGCAUAUUAUUGAUGAUGAUGGAAUUGGUGGAAUUAGUGGAAAACAGUUCGUGGCCGAGAUCAAAUGGCAUAAUGUUAUUGAAUUGUAUUUGGAUCUAUCUGUUGGGAUAUUAUCAACUUAUCCUUUGUGACAAUAUCUGCAUUACAAUUGUAAGGUGUCUGAAAACAAUGCUCAUCAAAUGAGUUUACUUGAAGCACUGAUAGCAUGUCAGUGGGACCAAUUGAAUACUGGAAUCCACUUGAUGGCACCUGAAGACAAUAUAUAGGUUCCAUUCGGGCAUGCAUCACUGUAAAUUUUAUUUUGUCCAU